UACGGGGGGGGCAAGCGUUGUUCGGAAUUACUGGGCGUAAAGGGCUCGUAGGCGGCCAACUAAGUCAGACGUGAAAUCCCUCGGCUUAACCGGGGAACUGCGUCUGAUACUGGAUGGCUUGAGUUUGGGAGAGGGAUGCGGAAUUCCCAGUGUAGAGGUGAAAUUCGUAGAUAUUGGGAAGAACACCGGUGGCGAAGGCGGCUCUCUGGACCGAUACUGACGCUGAGGCGCGAAAGCGUGGGGAGCAAACAGG
rnacentral:rRNA from 1 species